CGAAAUUUCACAGACUUGUAGAGAAGCAAAGACACAGCAGCUGCAGCACUAUUCCCAGGAUCGGCUACAGAAAAAUAAAAAUGAGGCUGAACGAUCCUGAGGACUACUGGGCUCGCCUUUGCUUAUUCCUUGUCCUGAUGCAGAUACUUGCACUGAAACCCAGUGGAGACCAACUGUUAAUGCACCUGGACCAAGGCAUCGCCCACCUGUUCAAAUCAACCUAUGACCCCUCCUGUACUGUAAAUGACCAGCCCUUUGACCUAUCUAUGAAGAGUUUCUAUUGUGUUGUACUUUGGAAGAUUGUAUAAAAGCCAAGCCUCUGGCCGGACUCAGUCUCACUCUCACUCUCACUAAGGGUCAUCUUGCUUGAUUGAUCUGAGCCCUGGACCAGGUGGCGCAGGCGAACAAAUGUAUGUAUUCAUUGGUUGUAGCUUCUUCACUGUAUUAGUAUUGUAUUUCUCUGUAACCCCCUUUUAAGUAAAUAUUUGUUGCUGCCUUGGAA